GUGUCUAGUCUAAAUUAUCUUCUUUCAGUUUUACUUUCUUUCCUUAGAGUCCAUUUUCACAUUAGAAGUUCUUUCAACCUUUUAAGGGCUUUCGAGGGUAGUCUGUUAGCUGUAAAAUUUUUUAAGCACCUUGUUUUGUCAUGCUGCUUUGUGAACACAGUUCUUGCAUCAAACUCUUCUCUGUAGCACAUGAUCCCCCUUCUGAGGCUGGGAAGUCCUCUGGCUUGUGGUAGGUGCCACGUUCUGCAGGGUCCUGCCUUAUAACUUCUCUACAAUGCUGCUUUCUCCUGAGUAAGAAUUACUGUGGCACUGCGGUUCUUGUGUAGUGUUCUCAUAACUGUGAUCCAGAGGUUUUCCAUGGUUAACUGCCUGGCACAGUGCAUCUUAAACACAUAAAGGUGUCUUACUUAAAAUCGUAGAGUGGUCUGGGUUGGAAAGGAGCUCAAAGAUCAUCUAGUUUCAACCUCCCUGCCAUGUGCAGGGUUGCUGGCCACUAGACCAGGCUGCCCAGAGCCACAUCUGGGCUGCAAGCUCACGCUGCUGGCUCAGGUCCAUCUUGUCCACCAGGACCCCAAGUCCUUCUCUGCAGGGUUGCUCUCAAGGAGUCUAUAUAAAUACCUGGGAUUGCCCUGGCCCGAGUGCAGUGCCUUGCAUUUGGCCUUGUUGAACCUCAUUUGGUUCACAUGGGCACAAUUCUUUAGCCUGUCCUUACUUACAGCAGUAUAUGGCUUCAAUUAAAACCGUUCUUUUUCUGUCACUUGUUAGAUACAAAGAAAUAGAUGCAGCAAGGCCCUGGAUCUGCAAAGGGAUGGGAGUAUUAGGCACCUGCUCUCAGCUCUUCAGAGUCGCUAGAGUUUGUACAGCUGUACAUUUCAACCUGCAUAGGCUGUCAUGCAGGACAGCUGGAGAAGAUUGAAGGAGCAUUAAGUUCAGUUCUCUGCCUGACCCUUACUGUGCCAAAGAAUGGCUGCUCUGUUUGUUCCAGGUAGCAAGGAGAGGCAAUGUUAUGCAUUACCACAACUUGAAAAUCUUCUUUCUUGUAAAUCUGUGCUGAUAUGUGCAUCAGAACUGAUGCUUACACAAAAUGGCUGACUUGAUUCACUCACAAUUGCUGCUGUCCUGGAAUCUUCUUGAUCAGAUGGCUCAUGUCCUUGGAAUGGUAUAGGAAUGAAAACUGCUGUAUCAAAUUGCUUAAUUAAAAUAUCCAGUUUAAAAGAUUAAUGCUUUUUUAAAAAAGAUUUGUACAUGUUUAUGAAAUGAAGGUAACGCAUUUCAGCAUCUUAAGAUGUAAUAGUUUUCUUAGUAAUUUGUCUCAAUUAUGUGGCAUGUUUAACAGUGUCUCAAAUGGGGAUCCUUAGUAGCUUUGUGCAGUCUUCAGUUUCAUCCAUUGUCUUCUGCUAUGUCCUCUUUUCUCUGCCAAUUCUGUGGUUUCUCUUGUGGUGUUUAAAAGUCACCUGUUUGCAAUAUUACUCCUGGAUAUGCAGCUGGCAUGAUAUAUUGAAAAUUUGCAGUGUUUCAGUGAACACACCUGGUCUGUCAACAGUAGAAACGUACCGUUUUUGUGCGCUGUAAAUUGCCAACGUAUUUACAUUACAAUGGCUGUCCCGGAGUGGUGUACCGGGUUCUGCCAGGCGAUGGCAUCAGUUGUACAACUUUGCGUUGCAAUUGGAGUGUUGCAGACGGAAAACAGAUGGCAGAGCAGUAGCAACCAGACCGGUGCACAGUCCCAGGAAUGAAGAUGGGUGGGGGAAAAUGAAGAAACUGCAAAGGCAACAUUAUACACAGUGCAGCCCCCAGCUGCUUAGCCCUGCGUUGUCUCCUCUGAUGCAUAGAGGUUUCAUCUUCUGCUGGUUUUGCUGCACAUAUUUAAGGACAGUUUAAAUUCUGCACUGUUGCAGUCUGCUCAAACUGGUUUAUAGGAGCUUGCUGCAGUGCCUGCCUGUGCGGAAGCAGCCACUCAAGCACAUUGGAGCAGCUGGGGCAUGUGGCAGCAUUCCUUCCUAUUGCGUGUCCUGUGGGUGCACAUUGGUUUGUGUCAGAAAAGGAGCAGAGGAGGUGGUACACUGGCUUGCCCAUUUCAUAUCUUAAUCAGCAGGUAUUUUUCCUUUGCUUUUUUCUGGGCUAAGGCAUGCUGUUAGUGACAAGAGUGAAUGCUGGGAGGGGUGAGACUUUCAGACCUUCAGACUUGUCAGCACUGAUCUUAAUAUACAAAAGGUGAAAAUGUUGGGGGGGUGGUUUAAUAAAAACAGGCAAAAAACUCGAGAGGUAUUUUAAUUGUAAGCCCUCUCUUGGUUUUGUUUUGAUUGUUUUGAUUUCAUUGGUUUUCUUGUUUGUUUUGAAUUUAGGAGGGGGGUUAAUUUGCUUCCAGAUCUCAUACAGCGCCUUUUGAAAUUGCUUCCCUUUGUUCUCUCCACUUUUCUUCCUCCAGUACUCACACUGUUGUAAAAGAUUUUGAUCAGAAAAUAUACCAGCAGGGAUUGGAACCACAUUGUUCUGUUGCUUUGGAAACAACUAAGAAGAGAAGUUUUCAUGAAAAUCCUGCAGACAAAGGUUCUCAGCCCAUACACUGAGCUUAAUUUCAGGGAGUUGUACAUUCUUGGGCAAGCUUAUUGCUUUUCCUCUUAGCCUGAGGGGAGACGGCCAUUGGGUGCUGAAAUUCAGUGCAGUUUGAUAAGGCUGUGUUGGCAGGGGUUGCGUCUGCAGCAGUCUGCUGUAACAGAGGAGGGCUUAUUGUGUGUAGCUGGAGCAGGCAGAGUUUGUGUAGCAACGGCUCUCCAGCCAAUCGUCGGAGGUGUUAGAUAAAGUGGAAGCGUUUGUAGCACUUCCUCUGCUUUUCUUUUUAAUUAGGCCAUAUUCUUUCCUGAACCCCCUCCUCCGCUGCAAGCAUCAGACAGCAUCCUGAAGCUGUCACUCUGUUCUGCGCAAUGGAAUUUGGAUAUUGGAAAGAUCUACAAUUUGAACCUAGCUGGUUUUGUGUAAUCUUUUUGUUUUGAGCCAUGUUUGCCAGGAGAAGGUUCUGUAUUUUGUUUUCCUCUGCCUUUCUUGGAGAGUACCUUGCAGUGCUGGCUGUGCUGUUCAUCUAAGUAAGAUGUCUGAAUUUGUGUGUAGGCAUUUUACUAAGAGGACUUAGUAGGAAAAAAAAAUCUCAUUGGCCUUUAGUUUAGUUUCUCAAUGUGUGUUUUGAUUAACUAGACUACAGCAGAGGGAGUUCUGGAAGCUGCUGCAUACAGCAUUACGUGGCUCACCAUAUCAGAGAGGGCUGACUCAUAAACGGUUCGCUCCGCUAUUAGCGAGUUUCCUUUAAUGAGGCAGAGGGGGUUGGAUAGUGCAUGCAGAUGAUGCUGGCAAGUAGCCUUGUGCUGGGAGGAGAUGGGAGAGGUUAAGAAUUAAUGCAAGUCAGAAAAGCUAGUACUGAGGAACUGAACUCUCUUCCCACCUUACAGCUAUUUGAGACAGCUGGAUGCACUGGAUAAUAGGAAUACAGAAGAAAAUGAUCCCUGAAGCGCCUCAGUCCGCUGCUCUGUGGAACUCUUUUGGAACAGAGGGAAAUCAGUCUUUUACUUAAAUAGGCUGAGUUUUCUUCUGCUGAGGAACAUCUCCAGCCCAAUAUCAGGGCUGUUUGGUGAAGCUGUAUCAUGUUGGUGGUGAGCAGUGUCCUUGCUUUGGUUCAAAAAAAAAAGUCCAACCUAAAGUAGCAGCAGCUGAGUUUCGGGGAAGAUACACAUUGCAUCUCCUGUUGUUACACACAGAGGCCUUGUGUUCUGCAGAAUAACAUGUCCUGCUGUUUUUGACAAGUUCUUGAAUUCGGUUUUAUGGUCUUUCAUAUCCUGCAGCCCUGUUAGCAUUUCUUUUUAGAAUUCUGUAUUACCCAAAGCCAAAGGAAUGACAGCCUGUUGCUCAGCUGUCAGAUGUGGCCGAGGGCACUGAUCACACAGCAAACUCUGUAACGUUUUGGAAACAAGCAGUCCUCUUUUAAAAGACCAAUUUUAGUGGAAGUGUUUCCAGUGCUUAUCAAGAAAAAGAUAGGAUGUUUAUUUUCUGGUAAAAAAAAAAGUUGUGCAAACACUGAACUCCAUAUAUACCAAACCUUAAAAUAUCAUUUUCAUUGGUAGAAUACUUGUGCAUUUUCACCCACACAUCCAUGCAGGUUGUUUGAGGAAGGCUGCAGUUUUAUUGGUGUUUUCCUACAGACAAGUUGGAAGUAGGCUACAAGCUGAGUGUUUAUUGAAUGAUACUUGUAGAGAGUGCUCUGUGUUCUCCUCCUGUGGAAAUAAACAUCACAGUCCGUUUUAAGAGACCAUUAAUUGGGGAAAUGAAACCAUAUGUGACACAAAUGCUACAUGUGUACAAGGCCACAGAACAGAGCUAAACAGAGAGCUGAUCUGUGUGUGGGUGCUGUGAACCAGUCACCAUUCUAUUAAUUAAAAGCGACAUUGUUAUGAAAUAGUCGUUACUUUGGAUGCCAAGGCAUGACCCCUGUACACAGUGAAAUUAGCUAAAUUUGCUGUGGUGUGUUUUGAAAGUGAAAGUGGCCUCUAAAAAUAGCUUUUAUCCUGGCAUCGAGAAAGCAAGCUGUAGUACUGCAGCACUCUUUAAGUGUCGCGUUUUCCUUUUUGGUCGAUGUGAUUGAUGUGUUUCAGUGACUUCUGUACGUAUUGCUAAGAUAUGUGCAUGACUGCAAGGGAGACAUCUUGUUUUAGGAAGUUCAGUAGACAGCUGGAUGUUCAGGAAAUAUCACUGACCAGUAAAGCACUGCUACCUGUGUUCUUGGUAAGAGAAAGAGCUGUGUUCAAGAAACUCGAAACUGAUGUAUUUGGGAAGGUAGGAGUGGGAGAGAAAAAGGAGACUGACUAUUGCUUUCGUUACUGAAAACAAGUAACUAUUUUGUAGACAGCCUGUAGUCCAUGAGCUGCAUGGAAUUGGGAUGCUCUCACUGUCGAGUUUCAACUUGCAGAUGUUCUGAGGAGAUGCUAGACAGCCCUGUUUUACCCUACAGAAAACUUUUGUUGAGUUUAGGUGCGUUUGCUGUUUUGACUGCAUUUGUUCAUGAUUGAGAGGUCACUGUCUGAACAGAAGAGGAGGAGAAUGGAGUGAGAAGCCUCUUUUCCUGGUAUCUUAUUCCUUAUGCUACUCCUCUCAAUGCAGAAGGAAGUCUCUGUCUCUGUUUUUCCAGUUGCCUUUUAUCUGACUAGAAAACAACACUGAGUUUGGUUCCUAUAUUUCACUGGCUUCUCCACACAUAUAACUUAAAAAAGAAUGGAUCUAUCUAUCAAGUUUUGCAGGUUGGUGGAGUAAGUUGUUUGAUGCCUAGGCAGGAGUUACAGAUGGAAGAAGCACAGGAACCCGUGAUGAUUCUUUCCACCAUCAGAAGACCAGGAAGGUCAGGAUAUAUUCCUCAUAUCCUCUGGACUGUCAGCAUGAAAUAAUUCUAGCCUGUAAACAGCAACAUCUCAGAUGUGUUGGUGAAAUGGCAUUGGCUGAAGUAGUCUUACUGGCAUCAUAAGAAUACAAACCACUAUUCUCAUAGCAGUACAGAAUAAUAGCACAAAAAGAGUGGAAGCUGGUAAGUCAAACCAGUGCACGGUAAGUUUCAUGUGAACUUUGGUAGCUCAAGAUUUCAAUGUGUUUAUUUCUGUUAACUUCUCUUUCUCUUCCAUGCUUCACAGUUCAGCAAGUGCUAUAUUAUUUUGAAUUAUUUCAUUCCUGCCUCUAAUCUGUAUUUGAAUCACUGUCAUGAAUUUCCACUGCUCGGUUUUUACCUCAAUUUAAGGGUGUGAAUUCUACCAACCACAGAGCCAAGGUGAGUUUCGGCAAACUGCAGCAGUGCAAUAAGAGGAAGUUUGCUAGUUGUUAAAAGAUGUCUGUGUUCCAGUGUCAAAUUUAGAACUGGUGCACAUUGUUGCAGCAUGCCAUUUUUUUUUGUCAAACAAAAAUUAGGAGGUGAUUACAGUCCAGUCAGUUUUGCAUCAUGGUCUUGUGUCUUCUUAUAGUUCCAUAAUUGUAUAUUAUAGCAGGUUCAUUAAAACACAUCAUAGUUAUUCUCAUUAGAAGUUAUUUUGCCUUCUAUGAAGACAACGUAUUUCUCCUCACUACUGGCAACCUGAAGUAGUAGCAAAGCACUAGUCAGACCUCAGUGCAAUGGGCUUGCAGACCUUCACAGCUCAAAGAUCUCACUUUGAGGUUUUGCUGUGGGUUAUUGGUUUUUUUUGUUGGUUUUUGUUUGUUUGUUUUCUGAAGCUGGAAAGAUAGAAAGUGUUGCUUGUCUGAUUUUAGGUGAAAAUCAAAUCCCACUGAAAUCAUUAUUUCAACACCUGGGCCUUUAGAGAGACUACUACAUCUUGAGUGGGCAAUAAAACUUUCAUUAUUCCAAAUAUUUUUUUUGCUAUUGCUGUAAACAGCAAUAAGACAAUUAGUAUGUUUGGUGAAGUGCUUGCCACUAGACUUUGCCUGUAUAUCUUAAAUCUAUAAAUCUAAAAAACCUAUUUUUUCUUUGAGUUCUGAGCAUAUAUUGACAAUAUUUACCCUCUUCAAACUGCUGAGCACUUGGUUCUUCAUCAAACCAAACCACUGUUAAUGGGUAGUCCAGCCUCUGGUUAAGAAAAGAAAUAAAAUAUUGCUUAAGAUAGUCUUUUUUUUUAUUAUGCAAGCUCUUUACAUAUGCUUAAAUUUGUGGUUUCUGAUUUCAUGGAGGUGUUUAGCAGUUAGGCAAACAUAGAAUGUCUCUGUGUUUGGCUUUUUCCUGGCAGCACAGCUGAGACAGCUGCAGAGAGACAAAUUCAGAGUCAGGUUCUGUUCACCAUUUAUUCCCUUCAUGCUCACAAGCACUGGCUUCACAGACCAUGUCAAAAUGCAGCUAGGGGAGUGCUGAGCAAUCAGUACCUAGAGGGAGCUGAAGUUUUGGCUUAGAACAACCUUUUUUAUUCCUUUUUUUUUUCUUUACCAUUCCAGAAAUGCAGACAAGACAAAUGGCUGUACAGCUUUAGGUGUUGUCUUACUGCUCAAAGCAUUUUAUCUGAGAAAUGAAGUUACUUUGUUCAGGUAUCCGUGUGUCUGGAGCCAGGUGACCUCUGUCCAUGUGUCUGUCACAUAUAAGAUCUUCUGUCUUUACGUGGGGUUCUCUUCAUGUGUUUACCUGUGUGGGCUGUUCCCUUGUUCAGCUGUGCACAUAUUGCAGUUCCUGAAAACCUAAUACAAGUUUAUACAGUCUUCUUCCUACAGGAUUCUCCCUUUGAAGGAGCCACUGGUGAUGCAGCACCUGCUUUGCAUCAGCACAUCUCAAAUAUGAUUGCCCAUACCAGACAUCCAUUAUCCUUCUGUUAUGGACCAUGUGUCCUGCUAUUUGUCUUGUGUGACAGGAGUCAAGAGAGGCCUUGAGGUCUCAAAGGUAGGAAGUAUCAAUAUUUCUGCUCAGAAGAGGAAGAAAUAGGCUGAAGCUGUAUUAAAGAAAGCAGUGUGAUCUCUACCUUUAUUGGACAGGAAGAAACCCACAAAAGACAAUUCCCUCACAUCUGUUUGUUCCUGGAGAUCUCAGUGGGAGUUCAUCCAUUAUAAAACACCAGAUUUAGUUCUCAGUUUGUUUUUCUUCUGAGUCAUUUUUCUGUCAUCAGUGAGGGAUAAACUCAUGAUAAAGAAUUGUAAUAAAAAUAUUGAAAAUAACUCAACCA